rnacentral:tRNA from 1 species
GCCGAGGUAGCUCAGAUUGGGAGAGCACCCGACUCAACACCGGGCUGUCGCCAGUUCAAGUCCGGCCCUCGGCACCA